CAGUGGGAGGCAAUCCCACCAGGGUAAAAGUCAGAGCCCUGUAGUUUGGAUAGCAGAGAGGAGGGAAACCGAAUUUUUGAAGCCUAUCGACAAGGUCUCCGGAAAGGGAGAUCACGAGUCAUCGGGCCGUAUCGAGA
rnacentral:ncRNA from 1 species